GGCCCGUUCGUCUAGGGGUUAGGACGUCUGGUUUUCAUCCAGGAAACAGGGGUUCGAUUCCCCUACGGGCUG
rnacentral:tRNA from 1 species